rnacentral:miRNA from 1 species
AUCCCUUGCAGGGGCUGUUGGGU